rnacentral:rRNA from 1 species
AGCAGCCGCGGUAAUUCCAGCUCCAAUAGCGUAUAUUAAAGUUGUUGCAGUUAAAAAGCUCGUAGUUGAAUUUCGGGGUCAGUAGGUCGGUCGUGCCACAGGUAUGCACUGGUCUCACUGAUUCCUCCUUCCUGAUGAACCGUAAUGCCAUUAAUUUGGUGUUGCGGGGAGACUGGACUGUUACUUUGAAAAAAUUAGAGUGUUUAAAGCAGGCUAACGCUUGAAUACAUUAGCAUGGAAUAACGGAAUAGGACGUUCGAUCUUAUUUUGUUGGUUUCUAAGAUUGGCGUAAUGAUUAAUAGGGAUAGUUGGGGGCAUUAGUAUUCAAUUGUCAGAGGUGAAAUUCUUGGAUUUAUUGAAGACUAACUACUGCGAAAGCAUUUGCCAAGGAUGUUUUCAUUAAUCAAGAACGAAAGUUAGGGGAUCGAAGACGAUCAGAUACCGUCGUAGUCUUAACCAUAAACUAUGCCGACUAGGGAUCGGAUGAUGUUAAUUUUUAAUGACUCAUUCGGCGCCUUAA